GCCGUAGGGGACGAGCGUUGUCCGGAUUCAUUGGGCGUAAAGCGCGCGUAGGCGGUUACGCACGUCGGUUGUGAAAAUCCGGGGCUCAACCCCGGACCUGCAUCCGAUACUGCGUGACUAGAGGUAGGUAGGGGAGAUCGGAAUUCCUGGUGUAGCGGUGAAAUGCGCAGAUAUCAGGAGGAACACCGGUGGCGAAGGCGGAUCUCGGGGCCUUACCUGACGCUCAGGCGCGAAAGCUAGGGGAGCGAACAGG
rnacentral:rRNA from 1 species